rfam:Dipodomys ordii contig_23278, whole genome shotgun sequence.
UGGCUCAGUGGUAGAGCGUUUGCCUUGCAUGCAUGAGGCCCUGGGUUCGAUUCCCCAG